rnacentral:misc_RNA from 1 species
UCCGCGUUGUGCGCGGCAGUCUCGUCUGACACGUAUAACAGACGACAAGGGUUGCGUUUGUUACCCCACUUAAGGGAGCGCCUCACGGCACAAACUGACGACAGCCAUGCAGCACCUGUGCAAGUGUCCUAAUAGGAAGCCCUCCCUUUCGGGUGGGUGUCACUUGCAUGUCAAGCCCUGGUAAGGUUCUUCGCUUAUCGUCGAAUUAAACCGCAUGCUCCACCGCUUGUGCGAGUCCCCGUCUAUUCCUUUGAGUUUUAGCCUUGCGGCCGUACUUCCCAGGCGGAACACUUAACGCGUUAGCUUCGCCGCCUGAAGGGUCGACACUUCAGACAGCUAGUGUUCAACGUUUACGGCGUGGACUAC